rnacentral:misc_RNA from 2 species
AACGCACAUUGCGCCCGCUGGUAUUCCGGCGGGCAUGCCUGUUCGAGCGUCAUUUCAACCCUCAAGCUCCCCGGAGUUUGGCGUUGGGGCGCCUGGAGUUUUUCAACCUCAGGGCCCUCAAGUCCAUCGGCGGGACCGCCCGGACACUGAGCGCAGUAGUAUUAUUUCGCUCGGUGGAAUCAUCCGCGGCGGGUCGAUCCGGCCGCUAAACCCCCCAAAUCUAACCAAAGGUUGACCUCGGAUCAGGUAGGAAUACCCGCUGAACUUAA